rnacentral:tRNA from 1 species
GCCCACGUGGCGAAAUUGGAUAUCGCUUCGGACUUCUAAUCCGAGGAUUGCGGGUUCGACCCCCGUCGUGGGUA